rnacentral:miRNA from 1 species
UGACUGUUAGCUCCGAUCAGC